rnacentral:misc_RNA from 1 species
GAUGAAGAACGCAGCGAAAUGCGAUAAGUAAUGUGAAUUGCAGAAUUCAGUGAAUCAUCGAAUCUUUGAACGCACCUUGCACCCUUUGGCAUUCUGAAGGGUAUGCUCGUUUGAGUGUCAUUGUACUCUCACACUCCCGAUCUUUGCAUUGGGAGCAGUGGACUUGGGUUUGCUGCUUCACCGUCGCUUACCUCAAAUAGGUUAGUGCAACUCUUGGUUGGACAUAGUACGGCGUGAUAAGUGUUCAUCGCCGGUGCCUCGCAAAGAGGGUGGCCGAUCGGGAUGUUGUGCUCCAAACCGUCUUCGGACAAUCUCUGACGACUUGACCUCAAAUCGAGUAAGACUACCCGCUGAACUUAAGCAUAUCAAUAAGCGGAGGA